AACGCGAAGAACCUUACCUGGGCUUGAACCGCACAGGACCAUCUCUGGAAACAGAGACUUCCCGCAAGGGACCUGUGUAGAGGUGCUGCAUGGCUGUCGUCAGCUCGUGCCGUGAGGUGUUGGGUUAAGUCCCGCAACGAGCGCAACCCUUACUCAUAGUUGCUACCCGCAAGGGAGAACUCUAUGAGGACUGCUCCGGAUAACGGAGAGGAAGGUGGGGAUGAGGUCAAGUCAGCAUGGCCUUUAUGUCCAGGGCUACACACGUGUUACAAUGCGCGCUACAGAGCGUUGCAAACCCGCGAGGGGGAGGCUAAUCGCACAAAAGCGCGCUCAGUUCGGAUUGCAGUCUGCAACUCGACUGCAUGAAGCCGGAAUCGCUAGUAAUGGCGCAUCAGAACGGCGCCGUGAAUACGUUCCCGGGCCUUGUA
rnacentral:rRNA from 1 species